rnacentral:rRNA from 2 species
UACGGAGGAUGCGAGCGUUAUCCGGAUUUAUUGGGUUUAAAGGGUGCGUAGGCGGACUAAUUAGUCAGCGGUGAAAUUUUGCGGCUCAACCGUAAAACUGCCGUUGAAACUGUUAGUCUUGAGUGCGGUAGAGGUAGGCGGAAUGUGUGGUGUAGCGGUGAAAUGCUUAGAUAUCACACAGAACACCGAUUGCGUAGGCAGCUUACUGGAGCGCAACUGACGCUGAGGCACGAAAGCGUGGGGAUCGAACAGG